rnacentral:rRNA from 1 species
CUGCUAUCGGAUUGAUACUAAGCCAUGCGAGUCAUUGCAGUAAUGCAAGGCAGACGGCUCAGUAACGCGUAGUCAACCUACCCUAUGGACGGGAAUAACCUCGGGAAACUGAGUAUAAUGCCCGAUAGAACACUAUUCCUGGAAUGGUUUGUGUUCCAAAUGAUUUAUCGCCGUAGGAUGGGACUGCGGCCUAUCAGUUUGUUGGUGAGGUGAUGGCCCACCAAGACUAUUACAGGUACGGGCUCUGAGAGGAGUAGCCCGGAGAUGGGUACUGAGACACGGACCCAGGCCCUAUGGGGCGCAGCAGGCGAGAAAACUUUGCAAUGUGCGAAAGCACGACAAGGUUAAUCCGAGUGGUUUGUGCUAAACGAACCUUUUGACAGUCCUAGAAACACUGUUGAAUAAGGGGUGGGCAAGUUCUGGUGUCAGCCGCCGCGGUAAAACCAGCACCUCAAGUGGUCAGGAUGAUUAUUGGGCCUAAAGCAUCCGUAGCCGGCUCUGUAAGUUUUCGGUUAAAUCUGUACGCUCAACGUACAGGCUGCCGGGAAUACUGCAGAGCUAGGGAGUGGGAGAGGUAGACGGUACUCGGUAGGAAGGGGUAAAAUCCUUUGAUCUAUUGAUGACCACCUGUGGCGAAGGCGGUCUACCAGAACACGUCCGACGGUGAGGGAUGAAAGCUGGGGGAGCAAACCGGAUUAGAUACCCGGGUAGUCCCAGCUGUAAACUAUGCAAACUCAGUGAUGCAUUGGCUUGUGGCCAAUGCAGUGCUGCAGGGAAGCCGUUAAGUUUGCCGCCUGGGAAGUACGUACGCAAGUAUGAAACUUAAAGGAAUUGGCGGGGGAGCACCACAAGGGGUGAAGCCUGCGG